rnacentral:rRNA from 1 species
CGCCGGGGGCCCCUAAACUCUGUCUCUGUAACGUUGGCAUCUCCGAGCAGACUAUAAACGAGUCAAAACUUUCAACAACGGAUCUCUUGGUUCUGGCAUCGAUGAAGAACGCAGCGAAAUGCGAUAAGUAAUGUGAAUUGCAGAAUUCAGUGAAUCAUCGAAUCUUUGAACGCACAUUGCGCCCGCCAGCACUCUGGCGGGCAUGCCUGUCCGAGCGUCAUUUCAACCCUCAGGCCCCGCCUGGCGUUGGAGCCCUGCGCAGCGCAGGCUCCCAAAGACAGCGGCGGGCGCGCCCCGGAACCGAGCGCAGUAAUGCUUUCUCGUUCUGGUCCGGCGCGCGCUCCGGCCGUAAAACCCCCAACUUUCUAAGUGGUUGACCUCGGAUCAGGUAGGAAUACCCGCUGAACUUAAGCAUAUCAAUAAGCGGAGGAAGC